rnacentral:snoRNA from 1 species
UCAGGCAACCUAUCCAAGCUGUCCAUGCUCUCUCUGUAGCGCCGGAUGGUCAUCAGGUCGCCAACAGGAUAACUUACCGACGGUCGCUGUUCGGUUCCUAAAUAACAUGUUGUUCAAUGUUGCUGAAACUAUAAUAUAGUUUCAGCAACAUUAAGGGGAAGGACAAUU